UACGUAGGGUGCGAGCGUUGUCCGGAAUUAUUGGGCGUAAAGGGCUCGUAGGCGGUUUGUCGCGUCGGGAGUGAAAUCCACUGGCUUAACUGGUGGCUUGCUUUCGAUACGGGCAGACUGGAGGUAUGCAGGGGAGAACGGAAUUCCUGGUGUAGCGGUGGAAUGCGUAGAGAUCCGGAGGAAGACCGGUGGCGAAGGCGGUCUGCUGGGCAGUUUCUGACACUGAUGCGCGACAGCGUGGGGAGCAAACAGG
rnacentral:rRNA from 1 species